rnacentral:rRNA from 1 species
AUUGAACGCUGGCGGCAUGCUUUACACAUGCAAGUCGAACGGUAACGCGGGGGGCAACCCUGGCGACGAGUGGCGAACGGGUGAGUAAUACAUCGGAACAUGUCCUGGAGUGGGGGAUAGCUCGGCGAAAGCCGGAUUAAUACCGCAUACGCUCUGAGGAGGAAAGCGGGGGACCUUCGGGCCUCGCGCUGCAGGAGUGGCCGAUGUCGGAUUAGCUAGUUGGUGGGGUAAAGGCCCACCAAGGCGACGAUCCGUAGCUGGUCUGAGAGGAUGAUCAGCCACACUGGGACUGAGACACGGCCCAGACUCCUACGGGAGGCAGCAGUGGGGAAUUUUGGACAAUGGGGGCAACCCUGAUCCAGCCAUGCCGCGUGAGUGAAGAAGGCCU